rnacentral:tRNA from 1 species
UGGGGAUUGGUGUAACGGUAGCACGACUGGCUCUGAACCAGUUAGUCAAGGUUCGAAUCCUUGAUCCCCAG